AUGAAUAUAUAUUUUUAAAUAGCCGCAGUAAAUUGACUGUGCAAAGGUAGCAUAAUAAUUUGUCUUUUAAUUGAAGACUGGAAUGAAUGGGUUGACGUGAAAAUUUCUGUCUCUAUAUUUAUUAUUGAAUUUUACAUUUAGGUUAAAAGGCCAUUAAAUUUUAUUAAGGGACGAAAAGACCCUAUCGAGUUUUAUAAUAAAUUUUAUUGUUUUCUUAAAAAAUAUGAAUUUAUUAUUUUUCUGGGGUGGAAGAAAUAUAAAAUCUUUUUUUGUUUAAAAAUAAUUAUUGAAUUUAUUUUUUGAUCUUUUAUUAAAGCUUUAAAAAUAAAUUACUGUAGGGGUAACAGCGUUAUUAUUUUGAAGAGUUCAAAUUGAUAAAAUAGAUUGCGACCUCGAUGUUGGAUUAAUUUUUACCUUAUAAUGAAGAAGUUUUAGUAGGUUAGUCUGUUCGACUAUUAAUAAAAUUACC
rnacentral:rRNA from 1 species